rnacentral:tRNA from 1 species
AAAGAAUUAGUUUAAAUAAUAAAACAUUAACUUGUCAAGUUAAAUAUAUAUAAAAUUAAUAUAUUCUUUA